GGCAGUGUGGUAUAGUGGUUUGAAUGUUGGACUAUGACUCUGAAACCAGGGUUCAAAUCCCUGCUUGGUGA